UACGGAGGGGGCUAGCGUUGUUCGGAAUUACUGGGCGUAAAGCGCGCGUAGGCGGCUUUGUAAGUUAGGGGUGAAAUCCCGGGGCUCAACCCCGGAACUGCCUUUAAUACUGGGUAUCUCGAGUUCGAGAGAGGUGAGUGGAAUUCCGAGUGUAGAGGUGAAAUUCGUAGAUAUUCGGAGGAACACCAGUGGCGAAGGCGGCUCACUGGCUCGAUACUGACGCUGAGGUGCGAAAGCGUGGGGAGCAAACAGG
rnacentral:rRNA from 1 species